ensembl:lncRNA
AGCUAAACAAGCCAAAAGGAAAGAGGGGGAAAAAAAGUCUAAACAAAAUGGGAUCUGCACAAACUUAAAAGAAAGUAUAAAAUAAAAAUAUAAUCAAAUACCUCCAAAGCCUGUUAAUCAAAUCUAAAAGAACCGCCGAUCAGCUGUUCGGCGGCUUCAAAAUGGCCGCCGCAAUACCCGAUCUUCGCAAUGCGGGUUUUCCCCAUUGCGAAGAUCGGGUAUGUUUCCAUAUAGCGAUCCCGAAAAAGGGAUCGCUAUACGGAAACAUCGCUAUACAGUGCACUCGUUAAGUGAGGCACCACUGUAUAUAGUAUCAUAAAAGAGGUUAUUAACACUGAUAUCUGGGUCACUUUUUAAAAAAAGCCAAACAUGUCUCAACAGGAGAGGGUGGAGUGGUCAUUUUAUUACCUUUUUGUAAAACCACUGAGGAGACCAUUUUUCAACUGCCCUGAUGAUCUCCCUUUGCCCCAGAGUCUCUUCAGAUCAACCCAUGAAUCUGAAACUGCAACAACAAGGUUCCCAGAGCAGAAUAUAAACCAAGAAAGAAAGAAAGAAAGAAAGAAAGAAAGAAAGAAAGAAAGAAAGAAAGAAAGAAAGAAAGAAAGAAAGAAAGAAAGAAAGAAAGAAAGAAAGAGUUUCCAAAGCUCAAGCCAAACCGCAAUGAAAAUGAAGGGAAAGGAAAGAAAAGAAAAUUUAAAAAAAGAAUGUUUGUAUGCCAUUAAAACAAGGUUUUCCCCUUUCUCCAGUUAUGUGGCUGCCUUUGUAACAUCUUUGACAGGAUAACCAAGGGUCUGCUCCUGUCACUUUGGGGCACUUUUAAGAGAGCUGUGGGAAUGGGAAGGUGAAAGGAACGUGUGGGGAGGGGAGAGGUGUGGGGAGAAGAGAGUUAUACUCAGGGCUUUUCUCCGUCAAAACCAGAACCCCACUGCUGGUAAUGUGAGAGCGCUACAUCAGGCGCCAAAUGGAUAAGACUGUAGACAGGGAGGCCAAAGCACUGAUCCCUGCCAGCACCUGCAGAUAGGAGACAAAUAAUUGGCACAUGUUAAAAAGAGAGAGAGAAAGAGACUUGUUAGAUGUCCAUAUUUUCUAACAGCGUCUGGCAAGGGUCCCUGUGAGGAAUUUAAUCAGCAAGAGUUGUUUAAAAUGGGCUUUGAACAACAAGCCCUGCACUGCUAGUAAUGAACUUCAUAUCAUCUGCAACUCCUGUUUGCUGACGACAUUCAAUUUGUUAAUUCUGCAGCUGGUGAUAGGGGUCAGAUAGGAAAGUGACGAUUGUUUUUUGACGUUCCAACCCCUGCUCACAUCUUCCUAAUUAAUCCUUUUAGAAGCAACCAGCCGACAGAGAGGUGUGGAGCUGAGGGAGGAGGACGCGAGGGCCAAAGGGGAAAGGAGACGGAGCUGCUAAUGCUGCCCUCUACUUUCUUAUCUGGCUGUCUGAAAUGCAGGAUGGAGGGGAAAUGGUGGAUAAGAAUACAGCUGAAGCCAGAAUAUUCAUAAAUGCAGCAAAAGGAUUUCUGUCGGGUUUUUCUCACUGAAGCGAUAUCACACACACU